rnacentral:rRNA from 1 species
AACGCUGGCGGCGUGCCUAAUACAUGCAAGUCGAACGAACUUCCGUUAAUUGAUUAUGACGUGCUUGCACUGAAUGAGAUUUUAACACGAAGUGAGUGGCGGACGGGUGAGUAACACGUGGGUAACCUGCCCAGAAGCAGGGGAUAACACCUGGAAACAGAUGCUAAUACCGUAUAACAGAGAAAACCGCCUGGUUUUCUUUUAAAAGAUGGCUCUGCUAUCACUUCUGGAUGGACCCGCGGCGCAUUAGCUAGUUGGUGAGGUAACGGCUCACCAAGGCGAUGAUGCGUAGCCGACCUGAGAGGGUAAUCGGCCACAUUGGGACUGAGACACGGCCCAGACUCCUACGGGAGGCAGCAGUAGGGAAUCUUCCACAAUGGACGCAAGUCUGAUGGAGCAACGCCGCGUGAGUGAAGAAGGGUUUCGGCUCGUAAAGCUCUGUUGUUAAAGAAGAACGUGGGUGAGAGUACUGUUCACCCAGUGACGGUAUUUAACCAGAAAGCCACGGCUAACUA